AUUGAACGCUGGCGGCAUGCCUUACACAUGCAAGUCGAACGGUAACAGGUCUUCGGAUGCUGACGAGUGGCGAACGGGUGAGUAAUACAUCGGAACGUGCCCAAUCGUGGGGGAUAACGCAGCGAAAGCUGUGCUAAUACCGCAUAAGAUCUACGGAUGAAAGCGGGGGAUCGCAAGACCUCGCGCGAAUGGAGCGGCCGAUGGCAGAUUAGGUAGUUGGCGGGGUAAAAGCCCACCAAGCCGACGAUCUGUAGCUAGUCUGAGAGGACGACCAGCCACACUGGGACUGAGACACGGCCCAGACUCCUACGGGAGGCAGCAGUGGGGAAUUUUGGACAAUGGGCGCAAGCCUGAUCCAGCAAUGCCGCGUGCAGGAUGAAGGCCUUCGGGUUGUAAAGUGCUGUCAGAAGGGAAGAAGGUCGCCCAGUCGAACAGAUUGGGAGGCUUGACGGUACCUUCAGAGGAAGCCACGGCUAAUUACGUGCCAGCCGCCGCAGUAA
rnacentral:rRNA from 1 species